rnacentral:rRNA from 1 species
GAUGAACGCUGGCGGCGUGCUUAACACAUGCAAGUCGAGCGAACAGAUGAGGAGCUUGCUCCUCUGACGUUAGCGGCGGACGGGUGAGUCACACGUGGAUAACCUCCCUUUAAGACUGGGAUAACUUCGGGAAACCGGAGCUAAUACCGGAUAAUAUAUUGAACCGCAUGGUUCAAUAGUGAAAGACGGCUUUGCUGUCACUUAUAGAUGGAUCCGCGCCGCAUUAGCUAGUUGGUAAGGUAACGGCUUACCAAGGCAACGAUGCGUAGCCGACCUGAGAGGGGGGUCGGCCACACUGGAACGGAGACACGGUCCAGACGCCUACGGGAGGCAGCAGUAGCGAAUCGUCCGCAAUGGGCGGAAGCCUUACGGAGCGACGCCGCGUGUGUGAUGAAGGUCUUCGGAGCGUAAUACCCGCUUACGAGUUAAGAACAGAUGUGUACUGAAACGUAGACGUCGUGACGGUACCUGGUCAGAAAGCACCGGCUAACUACGUG